rnacentral:lncRNA from 1 species
CUCCUUACCUUGGAACAGAACCAGACACAGAGGUCUCUGGCAUAUUUUGCUGCAGCUGCAAUGUCUCAGGACACAGCCAGGUCAAAGAGUCAUAGACAGAGGGAAUAUUUUUCAUUAUAUCCACUAGCACAGCUGGAAAAAUUAGAGGAGAUUUUGAGCUCUGAAGCCAAUCUACAAGUCAGUGAGGACUUUGAGAGAUGAGCCUUGACUGUGGUUGUUAUGGCAGGUUUGACAUUCCCCCCUUCCACUGCUGUGGCUGUUCUGCAGGGGAGGACAGUGGCAGCAGCCACAUUUCCCAGACUUUCUGCCAACAUUUUCCUGCUCAGUGCCUGUGCUGCAGCCCUUCCCUGGGCUCACAGGCGCUGCCAGCACUCAUGUGUCUGCCAGUGAAUGGGAACAGAGUCGGGAGACCAUGCAACAGCAGCAGCAAUCUGGUUUAACCUCUUGUCUGCUCCUGCUGCAGUGCUGGGGAUGGUCCCAGCCCACCAGGAUCGGGAGAGUGCAAGAACCAGCAUCAUCCCUGGAGGAAACAGCCCUGGGUGCACAGACCACGAGGAAUACACGUGUCUGACACCUGGGACCAGACGGAUGGACCUGCUUCUCCUGCAAGAAAAGAGUAGACCACACAUCAGCCAUCUGGAUGCACAAGACCCUGGGCAUGGAUGGGAAUUGUGGGCUGCAUGGGAACACCCCUGAGGUGCACCAGGAGUGACAUCAGAGACAGUAAAUAAAUGAGUCUUUUUAAACCUGUUUUGAAGGAAG